rfam:Sulfitobacter sp. CB2047 contig_3, whole genome shotgun sequence.
GUCCUCCAUCUGCUGGGGGGCGAUAAAGUGGAUGUGGCUGUCGAAACCGCCCGCGGUGAGGAUGCGUCCCUCGCCUGCGAUCACCUCGGUCCCCGGUCCGAUGAUGAUGUCGACGUUGGGUUGGGUGUCGGGGUUGCCCGCCUUGCCAAUCGCCGCGAUGCGCCCGUCUUUCAGCGCGACAUCCGCCUUGUAGAUGCCCGAAUGAUCCACGAUCAGCGCGUUGGUAAUGACAGUAUCCACCGCACCGUUUGCACGCGUGACCUGCGACUGGCCCAUCCCGUCGCGGAU